UUCAGCAACGGAUCUCUUGGCUCUCCCAUCGAUGAAGAACGCAGCGAAAUGCGAUAAGUAAUGUGAAUUGCAGAAUUCAGUGAAUCAUCGAAUCUUUGAACGCACCUUGCRCCCUUUGGUAUUCCGAAGGGCAUGCCUGUUUGAGUGUCAUUAAAUUC
rnacentral:rRNA from 1 species